UACGGAGGGGGCCAGCGUUGUUCGGAAUCAUUGGGCGUAAAGGGCGCGUAGGUGGCCACGCAAGUCGGAUGUGAAAUCCCUCGGCUCAACCGAGGAACUGCACCCGAAACUGCGAGGCUCGAGUCCUGGAGAGGGUAGUGGAAUUCCCAGUGUAGCGGUGAAAUGCGUAGAUACUGGGAGGAACACCGGUGGCGAAGGCGGCUACCUGGACAGGUACUGACACUGAGGCGCGAAAGCCAGGGGAGCAAACAGG
rnacentral:rRNA from 1 species